ensembl:snoRNA SNORA62 Small nucleolar RNA SNORA62/SNORA6 family
CCUGCAUAUUUUCAGAGCUUGGAGUUGAGGCCACUGGCUUGUUGAUGCACUCUCAAGUGUAGGUAGUGUGCUAAAUGGGGUGGCAAGUUUUUCACUAAUACCACAGGGAUCUCUGCCCAAUAAAUGGAGUUUGCUAGUAAUUCUUGCUACAGAA